rnacentral:rRNA from 1 species
AUUGAACGCUGGCGGCAGGCCUAACACAUGCAAGUCGAACGAGUGGCGGACGGGUGAGUAAUGUAUGGGAAACUGCCUGCUGGAGGGGGAUAACUACUGGAAACGGUGGCUAAUACCGCAUACCAUCAGAUGUGCCCAGAUGGGAUUAGCUUGUUGGUGGGGUAACGGCUCACCUAGGCGACGAUCCCUAGCUGGUCUGAGAGGAUGACCGGCACCCCUGGGACUGAGUCACGGUCCAGACUCCUACGGGAGGCAGGAGUGGGGAAUAUUGCACAAUGGGCGCAAGCCUGAUACAGCCAUGCCGCGUGUAUGAAGAAGGCCUUAGGGUUGUAAAGUACUUUCAGCGGGGAGGCGUUACCCGCAGAAGAAGCACCGGCUAACUACGUGCCAGCAGCCGCGGUAAUAC